AUACAGCGAAACUGCGAAUGGCUCAUUAUAUAAGUUAUCUGUUUAUUUGAUAGUGCCUUACUACUUGGAUAACCGUGGUAAUUCUAGAGCUAAUACAUGCUAAAAACCCCGACUUCGGAAGGGGUGUAUUUAUUAGAUACAAAACCAAUGCCCUUCGGGGCUCUUUGGUGAUUCAUGAUAACUAUACGAAUCGCACGGCCUUGCGCCGGCGAUGGUUCAUUCAAAUUUCUUCCCUAUCAACUUUCGAUGUUUGGGUAUUGGCCAAACAUGGUUGCAACGGGUAACGGAGGGUUAGGGCUCGACCCCGGAGAAGGAGCCUGAGAAACGGCUACUACAUCCAAGGAAGGCAGCAGGCGCGCAAAUUACCCAAUCCCGACUCGGGGAGGUAGUGACAAUAAAUACUGAUACAGGACCCUUUCGGGCCUUGUAAUUGGAAUGAGUACAAUUUAAAUCCCUUAACGAGGAACAAUUGGAGGGCAAGUCUGGUGCCAGCAGCCGCGGUAAUUCCAGCUCCAAUAGCGUAUAU
rnacentral:rRNA from 1 species